rnacentral:rRNA from 1 species
GUGGGAAAUUGCACAAUGGGCGCAAGCCUGAUGCAGCCAUGCCGCGUGUGUGAAGAAGGCCUUAGGGUUGUAAAGCACUUUCAGUAAGGAGGAAAGGUUAGUAGUUAAUACCUGCUAGCUGUGACGUUACUUACAGAAGAAGCACCGGCUAACUCCGUGCCAGCAGCCGCGGUAAUA